AAGUAAGUCGUUAAGGAUUAUAUCUGUUUAAUGAGGGAUUUUUCAANNNNNNAUAAAAGUAAAGAGNNNNNNAUACAUUCUAUAUCUGUUUUAUAUUAGAUAUUUACUAAGGUUAGGGUUACCUUUGUAUUGUUGAAUAUGUUAAUAUUCUAUUUAAAUACUAUUUAAAGAUUAGAUUUUUAACUCAUUUAUUAAAAUUAUUUAAGUUUAUUUAUGGUGUAAUAAGUAAUAAUAUUAGUCAUAUUCUAUCUCGAACUUAGUCCAACUGUUUAUUAAAAACAUUUUUGCCUAAAUAAUUUAGGCAAUAUAACCUGCCCGGUGUUUAUAUUAACGGCCGCAGUAUUAUGACUGUGCGAAGGUAGCAUAAUUAAUUGCCCUAUAAUUGAGGGCUUGUCUGAAUGGUUUAAUGAGGCUAAAUUUUAGAUUAUGAUUUUUAGUGAAAUUAAUAUUGUGAGUACAGAAUCUACAGUAUAAAGUUAGACGGAAAGACCCCAGGAUCUUUUAUUUUUGUCUGGGGCAGAUUAAAUUAUUUUAAUUUAUUUUUGACCCGUAGGUUAAAGGUUUAAGUUACCCUGGGGAUAACAGAGUAAUAAUUUAUUAGAGAUCUUAUCGAAUAAGUUGUUUGCU
rnacentral:rRNA from 1 species